AGGAAUGUGAGUUUAGUGAAGGAGCUAUUGAAAGAGACGAAAGAAAGGAGAAUAUUCAUGACAGAAAUGGUAAAACAAGUUCUCCCCAUGUCAGCAUGGGUUUCCUCCAGGUGUUCCAGUUUGUUUCCACAGUACAAAAACAUGCAUCCCAGCUAGGUCCUGAUUCUGUCCUGUACGAACAUUUCCAUCCUGGCAACCACAUAUCCACCAAGCAAGCUGUCACAGGACUCAGACAGUCCCAGACAUGAAGCCUUCCUGAAAAGUACACGUUUCUAUAAAUAUACAUAAGGUUGGAUUAUUGGUAUUGUGAACACUGGUCAUUAUAACAUUCCAGUGAAACGGGAGGUGUACACAUAAGCAUCAAAGUAAUGCUAACCAAGUCUUCAGCUGAAUAAGUUGAAGAAAAAAUAAAAAUUCCCUCUAAUAUUCAGGUUUUAGUAGUAAUCUUAAUGUUUCAUAAUUAUACACAUUGUCAAUCACACUGGCAUGUAAAAAGAAGAAUAAAAAGAAAAUUUAAUUGGGGUUGAGAAUUUUUAGCAUUUUGAAUGCUGCAAUAGUAUGAGUAAGGGU